CGGGAUUGGUUUAGGAAAGGGGGGCAACCUCAUUCUGAAACCGAGAAGCUGGUCAAAACUUGGUCAUUUGAGGAAGUAAAAGUGUAACAAGGUUUCCGUAGGUGAACCUGCGGAAGGAUCAUUACUGAUUUGCUUAAUUGCACCACAUGUGUUUUUCUUUGAAACAAACUUGCUUUGGCGGUGGGCCCAGCCUGCCGCCAGAGGUCUAAACUUACAACCAAUUUUUUAUCAACUUGUCACACCAGAUUAUUACUAAUAGUCAAAACUUUCAACAACGGAUCUCUUGGUUCUCGCAUCGAUGAAGAACGCAGCGAAAUGCGAUACGUAAUAUGAAUUGCAGAUAUUCGUGAAUCAUCGAAUCUUUGAACGCACAUUGCGCCCUCUGGUAUUCCGGAGGGCAUGCCUGUUUGAGCGUCGUUUCUCCCUCAAACCGCUGGGUUUGGUGUUGAGCAAUACGACUUGGGUUUGCUUGAAAGACGGUAGUGGUAAGGCGGGAUCGCUUUGACAAUGGCUUAGGUCUAACCAAAAACAUUGCUUGCGGCGGUAACGUCCACCACGUAUAUCUUCAAACUUUGACCUCAAAUCAGGUAGGACUACCCGCUGAACUUAAGCAUAUCAAUAAGCGGAGGAAAAGAAACCAACAGGGAUUGCC
rnacentral:rRNA from 1 species